GACAGCAGUAGCCGCGGUAAUACGUAGGGUGCGAGCGUUAAUCGGAAUUACUGGGCGUAAAGCGUGCGCAGGCGGUUCGUUAAGACAGAUGUGAAAUCCCCGGGCUCAACCUGGGAACUGCAUUUGUGACUGGCAGGCUAGAGUAUGGCAGAGGGGGGUGGAAUUCCGCGUGUAGCAGUGAAAUGCGUAGAUAUGCGGAGGAACACCGAUGGCGAAGGCAGCCCCCUGGGCCAAUACUGACGCUCAUGCACGAAAGCGUGGGGAGCAAACAGGAUUAGAUACCCCAGUAGUCCCUGUCUCUUAUAC
rnacentral:rRNA from 1 species